AGCGAACGCUGGCGGCAGGCUUAACACAUGCAAGUCGAACGGGCUUCUUCGGAAGUCAGUGGCAGACGGGUGAGUAACACGUGGGAACGUGCCCUUCGGUUCGGAAUAACUCAGGGAAACUUGAGCUAAUACCGGAUACGCCCUUUUGGGGAAAGGUUGACUGCCGAAGGAUCGGCCCGCGUCUGAUUAGCUUGUUGGUGGGGUAACGGCCUACCAAGGCGACGAUCAGUAGCUGGUCUGAGAGGAUGAUCAGCCACACUGGGACUGAGACCCGGCCCCGACUCCUACGGGAGGCAGCAGUGGGUAAUAUUGGACAAUGGGCGCAAGCCUGAUCCAGCCAUGCCGCGUGAGUGAUGAAGGCCUUAGGGUUGUAAAGCUCUUUUGUCCGGGACGAUAAUGACGGUACCGGAAGAAUAAGCCCCGGCUAACUUCGUG
rnacentral:rRNA from 1 species